GAUGAACGCUGGCGGCGUGCCUAAUACAUGCAAGUCGAGCGAACGGACGAGAAGCUUGCUUCUCUGAUGUUAGCGGCGGACGGGUGAGUAACACGUGGAUAACCUACCUAUAAGACUGGGAUAACUUCGGGAAACCGUAGCUAAUACCGGAUAAUAUUUUGAACCGCAUGGUUCAAAAGUGAAAGACGGUCUCGCUGUCACUUAUAGAUGGAUCCGCGCUGCAUUAGCUAGUUGGUAAGGUAACGGCUUACCAAGGCAACGAUGCAUAGCCGACCUGAGAGGGUGAUCGGCCACACUGGAACUGAGACACGGUCCAGACUCCUACGGGAGGCAGCAGUAGGGAAUCUUCCGCAAUGGGCGAAAGCCUGACGGAGCAACGCCGCGUGAGUGAUGAAGGUCUACGGAUCGUAAAACUCUGUUAUUAGGGAAGAACAUAUGUGUAAGUAACUGUGCACAUCUUGACGGUACCUAAUCAGAAAGCCACGGCUAACUACGUG
rnacentral:rRNA from 1 species